rnacentral:rRNA from 1 species
CACAGGGGAGCUUGCUCCCUGGGUGACGAGCGGCGGACGGGUGAGUAAUGUCUGGGAAACUGCCUGAUGGAGGGGGAUAACUACUGGAAACGGUAGCUAAUACCGCAUAACGUCGCAAGACCAAAGAGGGGGACCUUCGGGCCUCUUGCCAUCAGAUGUGCCCAGAUGGGAUUAGCUAGUAGGUGGGGUAAUGGCUCACCUAGGCGACGAUCCCUAGCUGGUCUGAGAGGAUGACCAGCCACACUGGAACUGAGACACGGUCCAGACUCCUACGGGAGGCAGCAGUGGGGAAUAUUGCACAAUGGGCGCAAGCCUGAUGCAGCCAUGCCGCGUGUGUGAAGAAGGCCUUCGGGUUGUAAAGCACUUUCAGCGAGGAGGAAGGUGGUGAACUUAAUACGUUCAUCAAUUGACGUUACUCGCAGAAGAAGCACCGGCUAACUCCGUGCCAGCAGCCGCGGUAAU